UUGUUUGGGCUUUUGUAAGCAGCGUAACAAACAUAAUUCAAAAAGGAAUUUAAUUUAAAAAAAUCCCUAGAUAAACAGGUUUCAUAUUAUACUUUAGCAAGUGUCCACAUAUAGGCUUAAAACGUGGGUGUCUCUCAGGAAAUGACAGAGGACAGCCGCCUACAGGACUAUUUCUGUGCUCCGCUUCCUACAGGUUUCAUUGUAAAUUGGUGUGGGUAACAAAUAGGAAAUGAGCGUGAAAUACUUUGUUCAUCUUUUAAUAUUUUUCAGUGCCCUUGUGCCAAAUGGUUUAAAUUGUUCAGAGUCAUGUAACAGCAUUACUCUCAACAUUCAGCUGGGCUCGGAAGUGUUGCUCCCAUGCACACUUUUGAAAAGUAACAAAACCGAAGAAGCCAGGUGGAUCCAAACUUCCAGUCUUCUGAGCAUUAGGCCUAAUGGAAACAUCACCUUUGAUGAUCCCAGGGAUGGCAGAAUGACAGUAUUCCCCCUCCUGUUUGGCAGAGGAAAUUUCUCCAUCCUCGUUCAUCAGUUCCAGGCCUCUGACAUGGGCAUAUACUGCUGUCAGCUGAGCCAUGAGUGCCAGAGAGUUGAAAUAAAGCUCUCGCAAAGUCCAGAAGAUCACAAAGGAGGUUUGAAUUUCCCAUGGUACUAUAUUGCUGCUGGAGUUGGAAUAUUUAUUCUGCUUGUGAUUGUAUUUAGUCUUAUCUAUAAAUUCAGAGCAGGAAACUGUCUAAAAAGAUCAUCUGAUUCUUAUUACGUCAACUCAGAACGCAAAGAACAAAAGGAGGCAGGACAUAGAGAGCAUGUUGAGAGAGCCAAGGUUGAUGAGUGUGAUGGUGAGUAUGAAGAAAUCGAGAGUGAUACACAUGAGGCGGAUUAUGAAAACACACCGGAAAAAGAGCAUGAUGGCCAGUAUGAAGAUACAGUGAGUGAAGAGCAGGACGAGGAUUAUGUAAACACUGACAGAAGAAGUAGUCAUGAUCAGUAUGACAAUACUGACCGUGAGUACCCUGCUGAACUCCAUGUGAACAGAGAUAUGCAAGGUUACUAUGACAACAUAUGUGUCUAUGAAAAUGAUGAGCACUAUCCCAAUCAAAAGUCAAAAUCCCCACGAAAAGCAGAAUUCAGAAAAAAGCCACAUCAGCAGCCAAAUUCAGCAAGACUAUACUAUGAGCCCCAGUCCCAGCUGAAGAGAACAGGUCCAUAGCAUGAUGCUGCCACCAGAAUGCUUCACCGUGGCCAAUCAGUCAGAGAUACUCAAGUCUGGCUGUCCUGGGAAGAGAAACAAAAAAGAAUCUCAGUUCAAAAAUCCAUUAUAUGACCAAAGUCCAGCACACAAGAAAUAAACAAUCAUCUUCCAAUUCACUAAAAAUAUGCCUGUUUAAGUCAAUGUAUUGUAAUAUUCUGUUUAUUAUUGUUCCACUGGAUUUGUGAGUUAGUAAAUAAGAAAAUAGUCUAAAUGGCUGCAUGAUUCUGGUUUAUACUGUGUAAAGAAGUAUGAGUGUGCUUUCUUUCAUUGCUUAUCAGGCUUAAUCAUCAGUUUUUUCACUUUUGAGAUCUUUUGAAUAAAUAAAUAAAUAAAUAAAUAAAUAAAUAGGUCCUUAACACUUCCUUUCUCAUUCUGAUGAUUAUGUGCUGAGUUUUUGUAUGCAGAAUUCUUUUAAUGCAGAAUUUAUAAAGCUAUACAAAGCUUUUCUCUGAGGAUUGUUAUUAGAUCUUUGAGGCCUUCUGCUUUCAGCAUGCAAGUCUGUUAGAGCAAGAAUGUUCUUCAAAUGAUCAAAAGUCAAAAGAUUUUCAUUGUAUAUAAUUUUGUUCAGCAGUACAGCACGUCAGCAAUUUUGCAUAAAAACCGUUAGAUUAGAGAUGCAAUUUAACCUAAUCAUGGUUGCACAGACCCAGGCCAGUAAGAAGAUAGAGAGAAUCUACAACAGAAGAUACUGGGAGACAUUCAGAGAAAAACUCUUAUGACUUAAAAUAAAAUAAAAUUGUACAGCAUAACCUUGUUUUGUUGGAGAAAUUGUUUUAAUAAAUCUAAUAAGGAA